UCUCUUUAUAUCACUUCACAGGUCCUCCUCCUCUUGAUCCUCUCUUCUCCUUCUUCUUGUUCCUUUUCUUUUCCCUCUUCUUUUGAGCUGCAUCUCUUUAUAUCACUUCACAGGUCCUUCUCCUCUUGAUCCUCUCUUCUUCUUCUUCUUCUUCCUUUUCUUUUCCCUCUUCUUUUGACCUGCAUCUCUUUAUAUCACAUCACAGGUCCUUCUCCUCUUGAUCCUCUCUUCUUCUUCUUCUUCUUCCUUUUCUUUUCCCUCUUCUUUUGAGCUGCACCGCUUUGUAUCACUUCGUACAUCCUGCUCCUCUUGAUCCUCAUUUCUGCUUUUUCUAAUAUAUUCAAAUUUUACCAAUUCAUUGUUCAUGGCCACAACAUUCCCUCCUACCUACCCAGAUAGUGCCAAAUCAUACAACACACUUUGUGACUAGUGUGAUCUACAUAAUAAUCAAUGACCUACUAAGGCUAGCAGGUCUAAAAUGGUGCAAGUCGGAGACCAAAGUUAACAAAAUUCUAUGAGGAGUCGAGCUUCAUCAACAAAAGUGAGACUGUCUGGCACACAGGGAACACUUAAUGAACAGCUUCUUCUCUUUUUUCUUCUUUGUUUAUGGUUCAUCUCCUCCCAGUCUUGAGGUUGGACUUGCAAUGACCCUCCUCCAUCUUGCUCAUUCGAACGCUAAUCCUUCCCCUAUUUCCAACACUUUGAAGUCUUGUUGCACUGCUCCUCUUCAUGUUCUAAGGGCCGCUCUCACAGUCACUUCAUUUGUUUUGAUCAUUACCAAUGGGGGCGAUCGACGCUAUAGUUUUCCACGUGAAACUGGCCGAAGGGGUAGUGGCGGCUGCAGAGGAAGCGAGAGGUGUUGAGUUUGUGUGCCAAGGUGCGGGGCUAGGCUAACCCCGCAGCCGCCACUACCCCAUCGGCCAGUUUUACGUGGAAAUACUAUAGUGGUGAUGACAGCCAUUGGUAACGAUCAAAACAAACAAAACGACUGUGAAAGCAGCCCAUAGUCUGAACAGCACAAGAAGAAACCAUGACCUCAUCCAUCCAUCAAAUUCCUGAGCUUUAAGGCCAAAGCAAGAUGAACAAUGCCUGCAACACACUGCUGCAUACAAAGGGAUACAGAAGACGAAGCCAAAUUGCAUUAUCAAAUUUUGUUAAAGAGUUGUCUUGAUGCUCCCCUCUUGAAUGAGUCCAAGUCAUUGAAAGGGGGAAAUACAGGGUAAUUAAGGCUGUUCCAGAGUUUGCUGGUGAAAUGAAUUAAGAUACUGGAUAACUCUUGCAUUGAAAACGUGGACAGCAGAGAGUCAGCCUUAGUAGAAGGUUAUGUGCUAAGAGGGCUCAGGAGGGGUGAGGGCAUGUAGUUGGCAAGUUCAAAGGAGCAGUUAGCAAAAAAACAGCAAUAUUGCAAGUAAGGGAAGCAUCAAGAUGACAGACUAUUGAAGGCUGAAAACAAUCAGGACUCGAUGAGUUUACGUGUUGAAUGCCUGAGUGGUAGCGUGCAGGCGUGGUGAGCCUGAGGUCCUAGAUUUGAGUCCCACUGAUGCAUUGACAAUUUUUAACCAUUGCCGAGUGGCAGUAAAUUACCCGCAUGCUGCCCAAAUCUUCAAUGAACACUAACUUCAGCGACUUCAGCCAAGAGGACCACUGGGGGGCAGCAUGGGCCAGGCAAGAGUCAUACAUCACGGCAGCCACUAUUAAUAUAAUUCACCAGCGCCACUUAACAGGCUGGAGUUGUUCAAGAAACCCUUAAAAGAAGCCUGCCGGUGCUACUGACAGCACCCCCCCAAAAAAAAGUUCAGAAGAGCUGCACAAGGGACAGGAAGUGAACCUCAUGUGCUAGGAGACAGACAAAGGUUACAGAUAUUCUACUGAUGAUUAAGAAUGAGAAAUGGACUUGAACAGGUCAUAUCAUGCAUAAAUCAAUAGCAAAUGGACAAACAAAGUAUGAGGGCAGCAGCCUAGGACUUGAAAGUCAGGGCAGACAGGACUAGGUGGAAUAUUAAAACAUUUGUUGAGGCAGGAUGGAGUACAAGGGGAGGCGGUGGCUGAGAGGUUAGCGUGCUGGUCCCGUGUCCGCCGUGUCAUGGAUGAUAUGGGUUGGAAUCCACCACAAUCACCUGGGAUUUUUCAGUCACACUAUCCACAUGCUGUCCUGAAGACCACCUAUCAACUCAGACUCUAGAGGAACUGUCCAAGGGAAAUCAAGGAUGAGCUCCAGGGCACAGCAUGAGCCAAGAAAAGAUGGCACCACUAUAAACACUUGCCAUGACAGGCUUGGGCCAACCACCAGGCUCAACCAGGAUAGCCUACCAGUGCUACAGGCCAGGACAUAGAAAAAAAAGAAGACAUCACAUACAAAGCAAUGGAGAACAUUAUGAAAGUCUUUUAGCUUGUAGUGAACUAGCA